CAAUAGCGUAUAUUUAAGUUGUUGCAGUUAAAAAGCUCGUAGUUGGAUUUCGGGUGGGACGCAGCGGUCUCGCAUUGCGUUUGUACUGCUGCAGCCCUCCUUCUUGCCGGGGGCGGCCUCUCGGACUUCACUGUCUGGGGGUCAGAAUCGGCGAUGUUACUUUGAGUAAAUUAGAGUGUUCAAAGCAAGCUUACGCUCUGAAUAUAAUAGAAUGGGAUAACACGACAGGACUCUGGCCUAUCGUGUUGGUCUAUAGGACCAGAGUAAUGAUUAAGAGGGACAGUCGGGGGCAUUCGUAUUCCGUUGUCAGAGGUGAAAUUCUUGGAUUUACGGAAGACGAACAUCUGCGAAAGCAUUUGCCAAGGAUGUUUUCAUUGA
rnacentral:rRNA from 1 species